UGCCAUCCUCGAAAAGGCUUUUCGCAACCUGGUAAACCUAGAAAAGAAAGAGGAAAAUGUGAGAAAUGGGGCUCACAGUUCGUCCCCUCCUGAUCUACGUCCCGAAACUGCUUUUUGCAUUUGCGCCUCUAAGCUCCCUAUCACCACAGAACUCAGUUGCGCAUCAAGGCCCAACCCCAAGAGAAGGAGAACACAUUGAGACAGCAUUGGACUCUGAAGGAGUCCUGAAAAUCAAUAGUGCCUCUGAGGGCGCCACACCUUCAGCAGUGCUUGGGAGAGCAAGCAGAAAGACAGAACUCCUCCUUCCACCGUAGAGAAGACAGACAGAGAGCUCUAGACAACUGCACACUUCCGGUUCUGAUCAGAAAUUUCCACAUGCAGGUUAAGAAUGGUGGGGAAACAUGGGGGAACUGUCAAUAAAUCAGGGCAGGUUUGCAGAUGCUUCUGCGUUGCUCUACAUUGCGCUUUUGACUAUGAUGAUCUACCGAGGGACGUUCAGUGCAAGAUCCUGCUUCCGCUCUGGUUGCCUGAAUAGAAAUGGGUGAUUUUUGUUUUAUAUAAAUGAUUUUUAUAAAU